rnacentral:rRNA from 1 species
GGGUUGUGAGGUUAAGCGACUAAGCGUACACGGUGGAUGCCCUGGCAGUCAGAGGCGAUGAAGGACGUGCUAAUCUGCGAUAAGCGUCGGUGAGGUGAUAUGAACCGUUAUAACCGGCGAUUUCCGAAUGGGGAAACCCAGUGUGUUUCGACACACUAUCAUUAACUGAAUCCAUAGGUUAAUGAGGCGAACCGGGGGAACUGAAACAUCUAAGUACCCCGAGGAAAAGAAAUCAACCGAGAUUCCCCCAGUAGCGGCGAGCGAACGGGGAGGAGCCCAGAGCCUGAAUCAGUGUGUGUGUUAGUGGAAGCGUCUGGAAAGGCGCGCGAUACAGGGUGACAGCCCCGUACACAAAAAUGCACAUAUUGUGAGCUCGAUGAGUAGGGCGGGACACGUGGUAUCCUGUCUGAAUAUGGGGGGACCAUCCUCCAAGGCUAAAUACUCCUGACUGACCGAUAGUGAACCAGUACCGUGAGGGAAAGGCGAAAAGAACCCCGGCGAGGGGAGUGAAAAAGAACCUGAAACCGUGUACGUACAAGCAGUGGGAGCCUCUUAAUGGGGUGACUGCGUACCUUUUGUAUAAUGGGUCAGCGACUUAUAUUCUGUAGCAAGGUUAACCGAAUAGGGGAGCCGAAGGGAAACCGAGUCUUAACUGGGCGUUAAGUUGCAGGGUAUAGACCCGAAACCCGGUGAUCUAGCCAUGGGCAGGUUGAAGGUUGGGUAACACUAACUGGAGGACCGAACCGACUAAUGUUGAAAAAUUAGCGGAUGACUUGUGGCUGGGGGUGAAAGGCCAAUCAAACCGGGAGAUAGCUGGUUCUCCCCGAAAGCUAUUUAGGUAGCGCCUCGUGAAUUCAUCUCCGGGGGUAGAGCACUGUUUCGGCAAGGGGGUCAUCCCGACUUACCAACCCGAUGCAAACUGCGAAUACCGGAGAAUGUUAUCACGGGAGACACACGGCGGGUGCUAACGUCCGUCGUGAAGAGGGAAACAACCCAGACCGCCAGCUAAGGUCCCAAAGUCAUGGUUAAGUGGGAAACGAUGUGGGAAGGCCCAGACAGCCAGGAUGUUGGCUUAGAAGCAGCCAUCAUUUAAAGAAAGCGUAAUAGCUCACUGGUCGAGUCGGCCUGCGCGGAAGAUGUAACGGGGCUAAACCAUGCACCGAAGCUGCGGCAGCGACGCUUAUGCGUUGUUGGGUAGGGGAGCGUUCUGUAAGCCUGUGAAGGUGUGCUGUGAGGCAUGCUGGAGGUAUCAGAAGUGCGAAUGCUGACAUAAGUAACGAUAAAGCGGGUGAAAAGCCCGCUCGCCGGAAGACCAAGGGUUCCUGUCCAACGUUAAUCGGGGCAGGGUGAGUCGACCCCUAAGGCGAGGCCGAAAGGCGUAGUCGAUGGGAAACAGGUUAAUAUUCCUGUACUUGGUGUUACUGCGAAGGGGGGACGGAGAAGGCUAUGUUGGCCGGGCGACGGUUGUCCCGGUUUAAGCGUGUAGGCUGGUUUUCCAGGCAAAUCCGGAAAACCAAGGCUGAGGCGUGAUGACGAGGCACUACG